rnacentral:rRNA from 1 species
UGGAUUAGUGGCGAACGGGUGAGUAACACGUGAGCAACCUGCCCAAGACUUUCGGGAUAAGCCUGGGAAACUGGGUCUAAUACUGGAUAUGACCUUUCAUCGCAUGGUGUUUGGUGGAAAGAUUUUUUGGUUUUGGAUGGGCUCGCGGCCUAUCAGCUUGUUGGUGAGGUAAUGGCUUACCAAGGCUUCGACGGGUAACCGGCCUGAGAGGGUGACCGGUCACACUGGGACUGAGACACGGCCCAGACUCCUACGGGAGGCAGCAGUGGGGAAUAUUGCACAAUGGGCGAAAGCCUGAUGCAGCGACGCCGCGUGAGGGAUGACGGCCUUCGGGUUGUAAACCUCUUUCAGUCAGGAACAAGCC